rnacentral:lncRNA from 1 species
CUCUGCCCUCUUGAGUAGCUAUGCAGAGGUUCCCAACUGACUUCAGAUAUUAAUAACAGAUAUAUAUAUAUAGAGAGAGAGAGAGAGAGAGAGGGAGAGAGAGAGAGAGAAGUAGUUUUUACAAGGAUAUUAGAGUGUAGUCUUUAAGCCAAACAGAUUUGGUUAAUACCUGUUCACGCUACCUGAUAAAAUACAUGUAAUUAACUUAUGUAUACAUUUUAUUGGUGCACCGUAUGCUUUUUAUUACAACCUUUAACACAGUCAGUCUUCUAUAGGAUACUAUUCUUUCUUAUAGGUUGUAAGCUAAUAGAAGAAAGGGAUUACUUUUAUUUGUUCUUCACAUUAGGCCUAAUAUAUUGAAUUGUAUCUACAAGCUGCUGAGCAGUCCUGUGAAACCUCCAACAUUAUCUCCAAAUCCGAGGGGAAUUCUGAGUGAGUGAGUGGCAGGGCCGGGAGCCAUGCCCGAGGGCCACGAGCCUGCAACUCCUUCUUCAUGCCAGAAGUCGCAGCGACCUGUCAUGCCUCCGGCCCUCAUGAGGCCACAGGGCCAGGCACACAUUCUCAGCCCCACCAGGGUAGUGCCAGCAGAGGACAAAGGCUCCCAUUCAGAGUGAACUGCUCCAGCCGCAGGCCCCGAGUGGCCCCUCUGAAGCUAAGCCACCUUCCUCCGUGCACCCCGCUGCCUCCCGCCCAAUUCCACCAGCUUCUCUGAAAUCAAUCAGGUCAAGGUCAAACGGCCAAGGUGAAGCCAAACCCAGGGAAGCAGAUUUAGAGAACUGAACAGACACCUCACUGCCAGCUCACAGUUGUGACUCAGCAGAAAUUCUGGAAUGAAGAGCCAGAUGUAAAUGUUUGUGGAAGAGAAGAGAAUAGAUGCUUGUGGAAUUGGCAGUGCAUGAACAAACGCCACACUGAUGAAGGAGUGAGCGAGUGGGUGAAAGGCUGGGCCCUUCGCUCUGCUGAGCGGCUCUGAGGAAACUUCCUUUAGAAUCUGAUAAAGUGAUUCUCAAGUUUAUUGGGAAGAAAAAAUGGCCAAGAACUGCCGAGAAAACUUGAAAAGAAUAAUAAGCAGCGAUUGGGACAAGGGAGUGCUUAUGCCACCAGAUCACUUGCUCUUCUGCUGAGGUUUCUUACAAGAUUCCAUCUCCCUCUGCUCUCCGUCAACCAUUUCCGUCAUUGCCACGAAAUAGAUCACUCUAAAAUGGGAAUGCAGGAGACUCUUACUAACUGUGCAGAAAUGGAUAUAAGGAACUAGCUAGUUGUUCUCCCUUUAAAAAAAGAAAAGAAAGAGAGGAAUGAAAAAGAGCCAGAGCCACUUCAGGAAGAAAUAAGCUAUCUUCAUGGAAGCAUCAGAUAGAAUCUAGAAAUAACAUCCAAAGUGGAAAUUUG